AAUAGAUGACGCCGUUGACUUUUUCUCACAUGUUUGACCAUUCGUCUUAUUCAAAAAAUUUACGUAAUUAUAAUUGAUUUGGUUAUGAGUAGUAGUAUCACAUCAUAGUACUUUAAGUGUGAUAUAUAUAUUAUACAUGUACAAAAAAUUUUUGAAUAAGACGAAUGUUCAAACAUGUGAGAAAAAGUCAACGGCGUCAUCUAUU
rnacentral:pre_miRNA from 1 species